UCUCUGCUCUAAAUUACACAAAUGUGCCAACAGGUGUCAGUAUAUUACCAAAUAUAACUGAUGGGGUGCGGUAAAUAUCCACUUUACUGUAUUAGUUCAUAUUGGCCCAGAUUGUACGAGUUUCGGACAGAGAGAGUCUUCGUGAUCGCUUUAUUUUGUGCAGUAUUGUAUGCGUUAAGUAAUUAACUUAACUGUUAAAUGCUUGAAUAUGAUUAUUUUGCUUGAAAGUUUAUCUGUUAUCGUUACGUUCUGGCUGCUAGAUGCAUGACUCACAGUUUCACUACCCCAAUAGUUCGGUCUGAUACUAAACUUAUUGCUUAUUAAAACUAAUUUUAAUGUCACUGUAUAGUAUUCUGUUUGCACCUUAUUGUGUAUCUUUAAGACGCCAUUUUAAUCAUCGCAGUUUCAGUGUUCGUUUACCUCAUGUCACUCAAUGUAUAUUGAUAAGAAAUAUGAUUUAUAGCCUAUGUCAUUUAAUUCAUCUCGAGAUCACGAGAAAACAAGAUAGAAAAAAUAAUAAUAAUCUAUGGCCGUUUAGGGCUUCCGUACGUUUCAGCACACUACGGAAAGCACGAAGUGUCAGACUUGACAGCCUUUCUCUGUACUCCUCCCCCGCCUGCAACCGGCAGAUAUCGCCAGCGGGUGGCAGACUAGUGUAGUUCAUCGAAGUGAUGCAGCUGACACCGGUCCUACUUACCCUGCUCUGCGCGGGCCUCGAACCUGGGUCUCUGGCGUGGGAGUCGGAUGCUCUAACAAGGAGGCUAAAGGCUGCAACCCUUUACUCACACAGCAACUACUAGCUGGCCUCCGUUACAUAUAUAUAGUGGAAUAUUGCAACAUAUAUUAUAUAGUCCUCUAAUAUUUACAACAGCAUCUGUUCUCUUCUCUGAUGACGUGUUUACUGGUGCAAGAGGGGGACCUGCUCACAUGAGGUCGCAUUGUAGCAAUAGCAAACCACAACGAUUCAAGAGCUAAUCAAUUCCUGAUGGACAAAAAGUUCAACUCUACAUUUUUUUCUUGUUCGAGAAGCUGUUUCACUUAGAUAUAUCCAUCACAAUAGGGAAGAAAAGACUAUCACAACUUCCAUUCCAUGCCAACUUUAAACUGAAUGGGGGUGAUGGCAGGAGUGGAAGCGGCUUUGUGUGCCAAGGCACCUCCACACAGAAGCUAAUUUGCUCUGACACACUAUCAAAGCAUGCUCGUCAGAACUCCCAUGGUGGCUCCUAUGGGCCACACACACGUUUUAAGGGGCACACGGUGCAAGGAAGAGAGAGCAUCGCAUCACACACACGCACGCGUGGGUUUUACACAGGACCGACAGAAGCACAAAAGUCAAAGGCGAAAUGCUUUGUCAGAUAGCAAAUUUUUUUUGCUCUGAAAAACACUUGAAAACAUAAACCACUGAAACGCAUAAGGAAAAAAAAAAUACUUCCAAAAAUCAUUUACAGUAUUUGAUAUUUUGUAGUGAAUAUAUCAAAGCAUUCUUACAAUUUUUUUUUUAAAAAAUGCAUUUAUAUUUUAUCUUCAAUCUAUCAAAAUUGUACAAGAUAUUAAGACUUUUUUCUGAGACAAUAUCUUGAACUACAUUCCUUUUUCUUUGUAUAAAUCUCAUUAAUUUGUUUUACAUUAAUGUUAAAAAAACAUGAAUUUUUUUUUUUAUUCAGUCAGUUUUCUUUUGUUUUAGUGGUAUAUUUCCACUGCCCUUACAGUUUUAAUCUCCUCAUCCUCAUGUUUUUCUUCUUCAUUUCUUUUCUUAACACAUAGCCUACUGCACGUUUUUUUGUCAAGUGAUGAAACUGGAAGUAUACUGUAGUGUUUAUCACCGGCACAGAGGAUCAAGACAGUUUGAAAACAGAGAGAAGGCAAUGACUCACUAAUGCAAUUUGUAAAGAUGCUUUGUAAUACACUUAAGACACUCACAUAAACUUUACCUGCUGGACUUUUAUAGCUGUAAGGAAUCAGGGAUGCUGUUAGUGUGAGAUAAAUGUCAGAGCAAUUCAUACAGUCUCCAUUAGGAAGGAAGAUGAGACAGGACAAUUUUCCGAGGGGAUGGGAAUGGAACUCUUUUCCAUGUAUCACUCACAUUAAUUUUUUCCAAGAAAUGUAUCAACAUUUACCAAUAAAUAAAUAAAAACAUAAAAAUUACCCUUAAUUUGUAAUGUUUGUAUCAUAAUCUGUUACAUAAAAAAAUGUGUAAUUAAAUUUUGAAUAAAUUCUCUGCUUUUUGUUUUU